rnacentral:lncRNA from 12 species
GGGAGAAUGUUGGUCAGUAUGAGAACCAGGCUUUUUUUUUAGGCCUUCUAAAAGCAGGACUCCAUAGUGAUGGAGGUGGGGGGAGUUUACCACUGAAGAGACAAACAAAACACGAACUUCUCUGAGGGCUCUAAAAAUAAGACAGUUACUUGCCACAGCAGGUGAGGGAACCCCAGUCUACAUGUGACAAAUGCUUCAAUAUGUUUUCUUGGAAGCCUCAGGCAAAAUCUCACCUUAGCCAGAUUUUGGCAGGGAAGCUGUGGAGACUCCCCGAUGGAGUAGUCUAG